GGAACUCUGUGCAAUAGAUACAAACACUUGUAAGACUAAUAGUUUUAGCACUUUUGAACUGAAGGCUUUGAUAACAAAUUUGUUCCUGUUAGAUACGGAAAUAAUUUUCUAUUAUAUUUAAUAAAUUUAAUUUAAAAAAAAUUAUACAUGUACUAUUACUAAAAAAUAUUCACAGGUACUGUAAUAUACUGUAAUAUAAAAAACAGCAUAGAAUUCUAGCCUACCUUAAACAUCCGUGAUUAAUAAUAUUUAAUUUCAUCCAAAGAAUGCUUAGGACGUUGAAUAUACAUCACUUGAACACAACUCUUAAACUAGCGUAAUUAAGAAUAGAAUCAGUUACAUGUAGGUUAAUGUUCAGAAAAAUUAACAUUCACUAGAGGAUAACCUUAAUGCAAAAAUACAUUUCAACACUGCUUUAAAUGAAUAUAUUUUUUUUAAGUUUUUUUUUAGAGUGUGAAAUACAUAUACAAAUCAGAUCAGGCACGGAUUUACCAGGGGGCACGAGGGGUACGUGCACCCCCAGCCGCUAAAGCAUUCUUUUUCUUCUUUUUUUUUGUGGAACAAAGUUGGCCAGAUGGUCCUGAUUUACCCGAUUUCUGACAGAAGACGUGCCCCUUCCAACCUUACUGUCUACUAUCCACAGGGGAUCAAAUGUUGUACGUUAAGACUCGAUUAUCACUGUCGCAAGAAUCUCUUCAGUGCGACAUGCUCUCUUUUCUGCAGAUAUUUUAAGCGUCUGGGUAACAUUAACCUUGUUUUGAUGUCAAGUAUACCAAUUAACACUGUAUUGUCAGAUGUAAUAAACAUGAGAACAUUAGAUAUGGAGACUUUUCUUGCCGUAUAGGACAUUAGCCCCUAGGACAUUAGCCCCUAGGACAAAAGUCCCUUCAAAAAAGUGCACGCUAAGACAUUAGCCCCAAGGUGUUUUGAAACGUCCAAAACUUUUUUUUAAAGUAAGCAUUUUUAUUCCAUUUUUUUAAUUUCAUAUGUAAAUUAUGUGACAAACAAUAUAUAGCUUGUACCACACACGGAAAUUUAAGUGUUUUUUUACAAUUUCUUAACUAUUUUUUUCUUUGUACUCUAUUUAUUUUGCAAUUAUUUUGCUAUCUGACACCAUCCAGAAGUUUAAAAUGACCUUACAAGUAGAUACAUAAGAAACAUAUUGUGUUGUUGUUGCUGUUUUUUUUUAAGUAACCAAUUAAUUCCAUUAUUUUAAAAAAAGAUGAAAUUAAAUACCUAAAAAAAUGAAUGUAAAAAUAGGUAGGGGUUAUGCCCUAGGGGGCUAAUGUCCAAAGGGGCUAAUGUCGUAGGGGCUUUUGUCCUAGGGGCUAAUGUCCCAUGGGCUAAUGUCCUACACUCAUAUAAUACAGCGUACCACAGCAUUGUCUUCAUAAAAAUGAAGCGAAAGGCAACAACACUGGAUCGAUUUUUUGGUCUAUCCAACAAACCAAAAAACACAGAGUCUGAUUCUGAGCCAAAGCUGUCGAGUCUAAGAACUUGUCAUGAAGAUGACUGUUACAGUCUACCUACCAGCUCAAGUGUGGUUAAAUUUAGCUGCCAGCCCCCUACCAUUUGGAGCCAGUGUAUUUGUUACUUGUUGUACUGUUGAAUGUCAAUUAGCAAUUUUUAAUAAAAAUUAAACAUCUUUAA